UACGGGGGGAGCAAGCGUUGUUCGGAUUUACUGGGCGUAAAGGGCGCGUAGGCGGCGCAACAAGUCACUUGUGAAAUCUCCGGGCUUAACCCGGAGCGGCCAAGUGAUACUGUCGUGCUAGAGUGCGGAAGGGGCUACUGGAAUUCUCGGUGUAGCGGUGAAAUGCGCAGAUAUCAGGAGGAACACCAGCGGCGAAGGCGGCGCUCUGGGCCGGUACUGACACUGAGGAGCGAAAGCGUGGGUAGCAAACAGG
rnacentral:rRNA from 1 species